GGCUUAGUAGUUUAAGUGAAUAGAGGUCUUGUAAGUCUAAGGUAUAGCUGUAUGUUAUUUAAGCCU
rnacentral:tRNA from 1 species